CCCAACUAUCCCUAUUAAUCAUUACUCCAGUUGCUAAAAAACCAACGAAAUAGAAUCAGUCCGUCCUAUUUCAUUAUUCCAUGCUAAUGUAUUCAGACGAUAGUCUGCUUUAAACACUCUAAUUUUUUCAAAGUAACAGUCCUGAUUUCCCAUCACACCAAAUAAAUGGCAUGAAAGUUCCUCAGAAGGUAGAGAUCCAUCUCACCAGUGCAGACAAUUAAGCCUGACCAAUGGGUAGACCCCGAGGUUCAACUACGAGCUUUUUAACUGCAACAACUUUAAUAUACGCUAUUGGAGCUGGAAUUACCGCGGCUGCUGGCACCAGACUUGCCCUCCAA
rnacentral:misc_RNA from 1 species